rnacentral:rRNA from 1 species
AUUGAACGCUGGCGGCAUGCUUUACACAUGCAAGUCGAACGGCAGCGCGGGCUUCGGCCUGGCGGCGAGUGGCGAACGGGUGUGUAAUGCAUCGGAACGUGCCCAGUAGUGGGGGAUAGCCCGGCGAAAGCCGGAUUAAUACCGCAUACGACCUGAGGGUGAAAGCGGGGGACCGAAAGGCCUCGCGCUAUUGGAGCGGCCGAUGUCGGAUUAGCUAGUUGGUGGGGUAAAGGCUUACCAAGGCGACGAUCCGUAGCUGGUCUGAGAGGACGACCAGCCACACUGGGACUGAGACACGGCCCAGACUCCUACGGGAGGCAGCAGUGGGGAAUUUUGGACAAUGGGGGCAACCCUGAUCCAGCCAUGCCGCGUGCGGGAAGAAGGCCUUCGGGUUGUAAACCGCUUUUGUUCGGGAAGAAAUCCUCUGGGCUAAUACCCCGGGGGGAUGACGGUACCGGAAGAAUAAGCACCGGCUAACUACGUG